rnacentral:rRNA from 1 species
UGGGGGAUAUUGCACAAUGGGCGAAAGCCUGAUGCAGCGACGCCGCGUGGGGGAUGAAGGCUUUCGGGUUGUAAACCUCUUUCGCUAUGGAACAAGGCCCGCUUAGGGUGGGUUGAGGGUAGGUGGAGAAGAAGCGCCGGCUACCUACGCGCCAUCAGCCGCGGUAAUACGUAGGGCGCGAGCGGUGUCCGGAAUUAUUGGGCGUAAAGGGCUUGUAGGCGGCGUGUUGCGCCUGCUGUGAAAACGCGGGGCUUAACGUGGCGAGUGCAGUGGGUACGGGCAGGCUUGAGUGUGGUAGGGGUGACUGGAAUUCCAGGUGUAGCGGUGGAAUGCGCAGAUAUCUGGAGGAACAUCGAUGGCGAAGGCAGGUAACUGGGACAUUACUGACGCUGAGGAGCGAAAGCAUGGGUAGCGAACAGG